CGAAAGCCUGACGGAGCAACGCCGCGUGAGGGAUGGAGGCCUUUGGGCUGUAAACCUCUUUUCUCAAGGAAGAAGAUCUGACGGUACUUGAGGAAUAAGCCACGGCUAAUUCCGUGCCAGCAGCCGCGGUAAUACGGGAGUGGCAAGCGUUAUCCGGAAUUAUUGGGCGUAAAGCGUCCGCAGGCGGCCGUUUAAGUCUGUUGUUAAAUCGUGGAGCUCAACUCCAUCACGGCAAUGGAAACUGUUCGGCUUGAGUAUGGUAGGGGCAGAGGGAAUUUCCGGUGUAGCGGUGAAAUGCGUAGAUAUCGGGAAGAACACCAGUGGCGAAAGCGCUCUGCUGGGCCAUUACUGACGCUCAUGGACGAAAGCCAGGGGAGCGAAAGGGAUUAGAUACCCCUGUAGUCCUGGCCGUAAACGAUGAACACUAGAUGUUGGGGGAAUCGACCCCCUCGGUGUCGUAGCUAACGCGUUAAGUGUUCCGCCUGGGGAGUACGCACGCAAGUGUGAAACUCAAAGGAAUUGACGGGGGCCCGCACAAGCGGUGGAGUAUGUGGUUUAAUUCGAUGCAACGCGAAGAACCUUACCAAGGCUUGACAUCCUGCGAAUCUCUAAGAAAUUAGAGAGUGCCUUCGGGAACGCAGUGACAGGUGGUGCAUGGCUGUCGUCAGCUCGUGUCGUGAGAUGUUGGGUUAAGUCCCGCAACGAGCGCAACCCACGUUUUUAGUUGCCAGCAUUCAGUUGGGCACUCUAGAAAGACUGCCGGUGACAAACCGGAGGAAGGUGUGGACGACGUCAAGUCAUCAUGCCCCUUACGCUUUGGGCUACACACGUACUACAAUGCUGCGGACAAAGAGUAGCGAUCUUGCGAAAGUUAGCUAAUCUCAUAAACCGUGGCUCAGUUCAGAUCGUAGGCUGCAACUCGCCUACGUGAAGGAGGAAUCGCUAGUAAUCGCAGGUCAGCAUACUGCGGUGAAUACGUUCCCGGGCCUUGUACACACCGCCCGUCACACCAUGGAAGUUGGCCAUGCCCGAAGUCGUUACUCUAACCUUUUGGAAGAGGGCGCCGAAGGCAGGGCUAAUGACUGGGGUGAAGUCGUAACAAGGUAGCCGUAGCGGAAGCUGCGGCUGGAUCACCUCCUAA
rnacentral:rRNA from 1 species